CCUGAUGCAGCAACGCCGCGUGAGGGACGAAGGCCUUCGGGUUGUAAACCUCUUUUAGUAGGGAAGAAGCGAAAGUGACGGUACCUGCAGAAAAAGCACCGGCUAACUACGUGCCAGCAGCCGCGGUAAUACGUAGGGUGCAAGCGUUGUCCGGAAUUAUUGGGCGUAAAGAGCUCGUAGGCGGUUUGUCGCGUCUGCUGUGAAAACUGGAGGCUCAACCUCCAGCCUGCAGUGGGUACGGGCAGACUAGAGUGCGGUAGGGGAGAUUGGAAUUCCUGGUGUAGCGGUGGAAUGCGCAGAUAUCAGGAGGAACACCGAUGGCGAAGGCAGAUCUCUGGGCCGUAACUGACGCUGAGGAGCGAAAGCAUGGGGAGCGAACAGGAUUAGAUACCCUGGUAGUCCAUGCCGUAAACGUUGGGAACUAGAUGUAGGGGCCAUUCCACGGUUUCUGUGUCGCAGCUAACGCAUUAAGUUCCCCGCCUGGGGAGUACGGCCGCAAGGCUAAAACUCAAAGGAAUUGACGGGGGCCCGCACAAGCGGCGGAGCAUGCGGAUUAAUUCGAUGCAACGCGAAGAACCUUACCAAGGCUUGACAUAUACCGGAAACGGCUAGAGAUAGUCGCCCCGCAAGGUCGGUA
rnacentral:rRNA from 3 species